AAGGGGUUGGAGACCACGCUCAAGUUUUCGUAGCAGGUUAUGGCGCAGCCCGAGCCUCCACCACCACACACGGGCUCACACUCCGUCCCGGCCACACAGUCAUGGGCGUCCGGGUCGAAGUGGCUAGUGCUGCCACAGCUGUUCGGGUGGUCCAACGGUUGGCCGCUGAAGCAUAAGUAGUAAUUGGUGCAGUUUUUGGGGUCGGCCACUUUGUCGCCGCUGUCCGUGCCAGUACAGUCAGGCUUACACGACGCCAGGGGGGACAUGCAGACCUCCAGGGCAGACUCC